rnacentral:rRNA from 1 species
AAUAUUGGACAAUGGGCGAAAGCCUGAUCCAGCCAUGCCGCGGGUGUGAAGAAGGUAGUCGGAUUGUAAAGCACUGUAAGUUGGGAGGAAGGGCAGGAAGGUAAUACCGUGCGGGUGGGACGGUACCGACAGAAUAAGCACCGGCUAAAGUCGGGCCAGCAGCCGCGGUAAUACGAAGGGUGCAAGCGUUAAUCGGAAUUACUGGGCGUAAAGCGCGCGUAGGUGGUUUGUUAAGUUGGAAGUGAAAGCCCCGGGCUCAACCUGGGAACUGCUUUCAAAACUGGCAAGCUAGAGUAUGGCAGAGGGUGGUGGAAUUUCCUGUGUAGCGGUGAAAUGCGUAGAUAUAGGAAGGAACACCAGUGGCGAAGGCGACCACCUGGGCUAAUACUGCCACUGAGGUGCGAAAGCGUGGGGAGCAAAC